rnacentral:rRNA from 1 species
UGGUGGCGACCGGCGCACGGGUGAGUAACGCGUAUGCAACCCCCCUAUCAGAGGGGAAUAACCCGGCGAAAGUCGGACUAAUACCGCAUAAAACAGGGACACCGCAUGGUGAUAUUUGUUAAAGAAAUUCGCUGAUAGAUGGGCAUGCGUUCCAUUAGGUAGUUGGUGAGGUAACGGCUCACCAAGCCGACGAUGGAUAGGGGAACUGAGAGGUUGGUCCCCCACACUGGUACUGAGACACGGACCAGACUCCUACGGGAGGCAGCAGUGAGGAAUAUUGGUCAAUGGGCGAGAGCCUGAACCAGCCAAGUCGCGUGAAGGAAGAAGGAUCUAUGGUUCGUAAACUUCUUUUGCAGGGGAAUAAAGUGCAGGACGUGUCCUGUUUUGUAUGUACCCUGAGAAUAAGGAUCGGCUAACUCCGUGCCAGCAGCCGCGGUAAUACGGAGGAUCCGAGCGUUAUCCGGAUUUAUUGGGUUUAAAGGGUGCGUAGGUGGUUUGAUAAGUCAGCGGUGAAAGUUUGCAGCUUAACUGUAAAAAUGCCGUUGAAACUGUCGGACUUGAGUGUAAAUGAGGUAGGCGGAAUGCGUGGUGUAGCGGUGAAAUGCUUAGAUAUCACGAAGAACUCCGAUUG